UACGGAGGGCGCAAGCGUUGUUCGGAAUCAUUGGGCGUAAAGCGCGUGUAGGCGGUCUGGUCAGUCGGGUGUGAAAUACCGGAGCUCAACUCCGGAACUGCAUUUGAAACUGAAAGGCUAGAGUCCCGGUGAGGGAGGUGGAAUUCCCGGUGUAGAGGUGAAAUUCGUAGAUAUCGGGAGGAACGCCAGCGGCGAAGGCGGCCAUCUGGACGGUGACUGACGCUGAGACGCGAAAGCGUGGGGAGCAAACAGG
rnacentral:rRNA from 1 species